rnacentral:misc_RNA from 1 species
CCCCUCCUUUCUAAGGUCGGAUCUUAUCGACUGGUCGAUAUCUUCGGAUAUGGAUUGGUCCUUUGAUCCCCUUUGAACAAAAGAGGCCAAAUCAGGCCUCGACAUGCGGGACUUCGCCGUCUUCGUUUCUCUUUCUUUUCCGGGCGAAUACGCUGGAUCGAUAAGCAUAGGGCUUGUCUCCGCGUAUUCUGGGCCAACUGCUUAGGUCUUUGGCCGCGCCUCGAAGCUUAAUUGUUUCGGGUGCUUUGCCUUGGGCCUGUAGCUCAGUUGGUUAGAGCGCGCGCUUGAUAAGCGUGAGGUCGGAGGUUCAAAUCCUCCCAGGCCCACCAGGAUCGAUCGGUCACGAGCCGUAAGGCUCGCAAGGCCGACCGGCCGCCGCGCCUGAUGGCGCGUUACCAACGCAAAAGGGGCCAUAGCUCAGUUGGGAGAGCGGUAGCUUUGCAAGCUUCAGGUCGUCGGUUCGAUCCCGUCUGGCUCCACCACUAAACGCCCGGAAAUUCAGGUUUUGCUGAUUGUCUCUCUUUGAGGGACGAUAAGUAACGCUGUUUGUCAUUGUGAAGAGGGAAUAGAUUUGAGGACGUCGCUACCCAGCGACAUUCGAGGUGCGGACACCAUCUGCGCUCGUCUUACUCGGGUCUAUUCGGCAAGCAAAAAUGGUCUUUCCGAUCAUUGUCUUGCAGAUGCAAAUCUGCGGACAUCGAUCAUGAGAACGAUCAAGUGCCUUAAGAGCAUUCGGUGGAUGCCUUGGCGCUGAGAGGCGAUGAAGGACGUGAUACGCUGCGAUAAGCCGUGGGGAGCUGCGAA